GUCUAUGGCCAUACCAUCCUGAACGCGCCCGAUCUCGUCAGAUCUCGGAAGGAAAGCAGGGUCGGGCCUGGUUAGUACUUGGAUGGUAGACUGCCUGGGAAUACCGGGUGCCGUAGGCU
rnacentral:rRNA from 1 species